GGGCGCGUGUCCAUACAACGCGCAUAAUCUUACCAACCCUUGACAUAUGAACAAGAAAACAUGUCCUUAACGGAAUGGUACUUACGUUCAUACAGGUGUUGCAUGGCUGUCGUCAGCUCGUGUCGUGAGAUGUUUGGUCAAGUCCUAUAACGAGCGAAAUCCUCGUUUUGUGUUGCUGAGACAUGCGCCUAAGGAUAAAGUCUUUGCAACCGAAGUGAGCUGAGGAGCCAAGUGACGUGCCAACGCUACUAAUUGAGUGUCAGCACC
rnacentral:ncRNA from 1 species